rnacentral:lncRNA from 1 species
CAGAUAAUAAAGAAAUCAGAAAUGUAAUUUUGGAUGCUGUUUGCUUAUGUAUUCGAUUUAUUCAAUAAAUAUUUACUAAAUGCCUACUAAGCACCAAACACUAUUGUAACUGCUAGAAAUAUAUAUUUGUGAACAAAACAAACAUUCCUGUUUCUUGGAGCAGAGGGAAAAAGACAGUAACCAAAAAGCAGUAUAAAUAGGUAAACCAUAUACUAUGCUAGAAAAGGAAUAGAGUGCAAUGGAUAGAGAAGUUCAGGGAGAAGUAGGG